rnacentral:rRNA from 1 species
UACGAAGGGGGCUAGCGUUGCUUGGAAUCACUGGGCGUAAAGCGCACGUAGGCGGCUUUUUAAGUCAGGGGUGAAAUCCUGGAGCUCAACUCCAGAACUGCCUUUGAUACUGAGAAGCUUGAGUCCGGGAGAGGUGAGUGGAACUGCGAGUGUAGAGGUGAAAUUCGUAGAUAUUCGCAAGAACACCAGUGGCGAAGGCGGCUCACUGGCCCGGUACUGACGCUGAGGUGCGAAAGCGUGGGGAGCAAACGGG